rnacentral:rRNA from 1 species
GACGAACCGUGCGAACGUUGUUCGGAUUCACUGGGCUUAAAGGGCGCGUAGGCGGUGCGGUACGGUUUCGGUGAAAUCCCUCGGCCCAACCGAGGAACAGCCGGGGCUACGGCCGCGCUCGACGGCAUCAGGGGACAGUGGAACUCCCGGUGGAGCGGUGAAAUGCGUAGAUAUCGGGAGGAACGCCGGUGGCGAAAGCGACUGUCUGGGGUGCCUGUGACGCUGAGGCGCGAAAGCCAGGGGAUCAAACGGG